rnacentral:rRNA from 2 species
AGAGAUAGGGCUUCUCCUUCGGGAGCAGAGUGACAGGUGGUGCAUGGUUGUCGUCAGCUCGUGUCAGUGAGAUGUUGGGUUAAGUCCCGCANCGAGCGCAACCCUUGAUCUUAGUUGCCAUCAUUAAGUUGGGCACUCUAAGGUGACUGCCGGUGNCAAACCGGAGGAAGGUGGGGAUGACGUCAAAUCAUCAUGCCCCUUAUGACCUGGGCUACACACGUGCUACAAUGGACGGUACAAAGAGCUGCAAGNCCGCGAGGUGGAGCUAAUCUCAUAAAACCGUUCUCAGUUCGGAUUGUAGGCUGCAACUCGCCUACAUGAAGCUGGAAUCGCUAGUAAUCNCGGAUCAGCAUGCCGCGGUGAAUACGUUCCCGGGCCUUGUACACACCGCCCAGUCCCACCAUCGACNGUUUGUAACANCCGAAGUCGGUGGGGUAACCUUUUUGGAGCCAGCCGCCUAAGGUGGGACAGCAUGCNUUGGGGUGAAGUCGUGAGCAAGG